rnacentral:rRNA from 1 species
UCGAGAAUCUUCCGCAAUGGACGAAAGUCUGACGGAGCGACGCCGCGUGAUUGAUGAAGUUCUUUGGAACGUAAAGAUCUUUUAUGAGGGAAGAAGUUUAUUGACUGUACCUCAUGAAUAAGGGGCUCCUAAUCUCGUGCCAGCAGGAGCGGUAAUACGAAAGCCCCGAGCGUUAUCCGGACUUAUUGGGCGUAAAGGGUGCGUAGGUGGUUGUAUUAGUCGGUUGUCAAAUCCUUGGGCUUAACCCAAGAACCGCGAAAGAAACGGUACAACUAGAGAGUGUGUGGGGUAUAGGGAACGCAUGGUGUAGGGGUGAAAUCCGUUGAUAUCAUGGGGAACACCAAAAGCGAAGGCACUAUACUAACACAUAUCUGACACUCAAGCACGAAAGCGUGGGUAGCGAAUG